rnacentral:rRNA from 1 species
CCAGUCGCAUCGCCGGGUAGCUAUGUUCGGAAGGGAUAACCGCUGAAAGCAUCUAAGCGGGAAGCCUACCUCAAGAUAAGAUUUCCCCGUGACUUUAUGUCACCUAAAGAGCCGUUCAAGACCAGGACGUUGAUAGGUUGGAUGUGGAAGCAUAGUGAUAUGUGAAGCUGACCAAUACUAAUUGCUCGUGAGGCUUGACUAUACAACACCCAAACAGUUG